UGUGGGAGCUGGCUUGCCUGCGAUAGCGCUGGUUCAGGCAACACUUGUGUAGCCUGUGCCAGCGCUAUCGCAGGCAAGCCAGCUCCCACA
rnacentral:misc_RNA from 1 species